rnacentral:snRNA from 1 species
UUGCUUCAGCAGCACAUUUACUAAAAUUGGAACCAUAUAGGAAGAUUAGCACGCCCCUGUGCAAGGGAUGAUGUGCAAAUUCGUGAAAUGUCCCAUAUUUUU